rnacentral:rRNA from 1 species
UUUUAUUCAUAAAAUAUUUUUAAUAAAAUAAUAAUAAAAUUAUUAAUAAAAAAUUGAAUAUAUAAUAAUAUAUGAUGAAAGGCAUAUAAAUAUAAAUAAAAAUGAAAAUCUCUAAUUAAUUAAAAAAAAUUAAUAAAAAAUAUAAAUUUAAAGAUUCCUAAAUAAGGUAACUUAUAAAACUAAUAUAUAUAUUUUAAUGUAUAAAAAAGAAAUAAAAAAAUGAAUUGAAAUUUCUUAAUAAUAAAAAAAAAAAAAAAAUUCUCAUAGUUAAUAAUGAAUAAAAAGAGAUAUUAACUAUUUAUUAAUAUUCAUUAUUAAAUAUUUUAAAAUAUAUUUAAUAGUAAUUUAAUAUAUUUUAAAAUAAAAUUAAUAAUAUUAAAAAUGUUAUACUUUAUAUGGUAAAAAAUAAAAAAAGUCCAGUAAUUUAAAAUUAUAAAUAUAUAAUAAAUUUAAAAUAAGUAAUUAUAAAAUAUUUAUGAAUAAUAUAAAUAAAAACUUUAUUAAGUAUAUUACAUUUAUAUAUUUAAUAGUUAAAAAGUACUGUGAAGGAAAAUAAAAAAAAAUUAAUAAUUUUUUAACAGUGGAAUAUAAAUAUAUUUUGACUACAUUCCUGUUGAAGAAUGAACUAGCGACUUAUAAAUAAUGGAUAAAUUAAAAAUAUAAAAUUUUAAUUAAAAUUAAUAUAAAUUAUAUUUUUAAAUUUUUAAUCAUUAUAUAUGUACCCGAAAAUAAGUGAUCUAUACAUAAUUAAGAUGAAAUUUUAUUAAUAUUAAAAUGGAGGUCUGAACUGACUGAUAUUGAAUAAAACAGCAGAUAAAUUAUGAUUAGAAGUGAAAUGCCAUUCAAACUUAUAGCUAGCUGGUUCUCCUCGAAAUGUGUUGAGGCACAGCAGUUUAAAUAAAUAAAAGGGAUUAUAAUAAUUAAUUAAUAUUUUUUUUAAUUAAUAAUAAA